rnacentral:rRNA from 1 species
AACCGGAUUAGAUACCCUGGUAGUCCACGCUGUAAACGAUGAAUGUUAAAUAUGGGAAGUUUACUUUCUGUAUUACAGCUAACGCGUUAAACAUUCCGCCUGGGGACUACGGUCGCAAGAUUAAAACUCAAAGGAAUUGACGGGGACCCGCACAAGCGGUGGAGCAUGUGGUUUAAUUCGAUGCAACGCGAAAAACCUUACCACUUCUUGACAUGGAAAUCAUACCUAUUCGAAGGGAUAGGGUCGGUUCGGCCGGAUUUUACACAAGUGUUGCAUGGCUGUCGUCAGCUCGUGUCGUGAGAUGUUGGGUUAAGUCCCGCAACGAGCGCAACCCUUAUCAACUGUUGCCAGCGGGUAAUGCCGGGAACUCGGUUGAGACUGCCGUUGACAAAACGGAGGAAGGUGGGGAUGACGUCAAGUCCUCAUGGCCUUUAUGUCCAGGGCUACACACGUGCUACAAUGGCAGGUACAAAACGCUGCAAACCAGCAAUGGGGAGCUAAUCGGAAAAAGCCUGUCUCAGUUCGGAUUGGAGUCUGCAACUCGACUCCAUGAAGCUGGAAUCGCUAGUAAUCGCAGAUUCAGCA